GUCUCGUUUGGAUUCCCCCAAUUUCAAAACCCUAAAAUCGAAUUAUGUUGUUGGCCAGGGUCUCUCAAGUUAAAGAACAACAAUGGAAUCCUUUUUUUGGCUGGGAAUCCGGUGGAGAAGGAAAUACAAUCAUGAUCAUCUUUCAAUCUCAGCAUCAUGAUAUCUUUUCUCAAAACUAAAAUACAUGGUACUGUUGGGGGACAUGUGCUGCUUUAGAACCCUAACCUUUUCUGAUGCAGAAACCCAAGUAUUACUAAUAUGGGGCUUCAGAAAUUGGGGAAAUGAGACAACAUUUUAGCCAGAUUCCAAGAGAUCUAUUCAAUCAGUGAAGAACUCCUCCAGAUCUGAAGGGAUGGAGGAAUGAAACACAUAGAUUAGGACCACAAUCGCAUUAUGAUUUCUCCUCUCAAAAACAAUAAAACCCAAGGUUUAAGGAACAAUCUCUUAAUGAUAUAGGAAUACUGAACGCGAUGUUGUUGGUAUAAUCACAGAAAGAGCUGGGUGUGUUUGCAGUGAUGCUGCAAAAGAGGCUGAAUCAAAGAAAUCGUAUGCGUUAAGACUUCAGAGUAUAAGGAGAUUGCUGGUUUAAAGAAAAGGAGAUUCAGUGUGAUGUGAUGAAGGGUGAGCAUAAGGGGUUGAAAGUGAAGAUUAACAGUCUAGAGAAGGAGAUGCUGGUAAGAAUUGAGGAGAGUGAGGAGCUGAAGUCUUAUAAAAAGAGGGUUGAUGAUGAUUUUGAAGAUUUAAUUGGGAGGAGAACCAGAGGAAGAGAACAAAAAAAAUGGAAAUGGAGGUCGAAAUGUGGGUAAACUCGGAAUGGAUAUGAGUCGAAGUCUGUGGAAAAGAGAGCAAAUGAUGAAUUUGGAGUUUUAAAGGGAAAGUGUAUGGAAUUGGAUGUUUAAGCAAGCGUGUCAUUGAAUUAUGGAGUCGAAUUGGGUAAACAAUUGAAGAACUAAAUGUUUAAAACGGUACAUUGAGAUGGUGAGCUUAUGGAGUACAGAAGUAUAUGUAGUGGAAUGCAAAAACUAGUUUCGGGUCUAAUAUAUGAGAGACCACAACAAAGCAAAGGUUGGAUGUUAAAAGUUGGGUUGCUGACUUGCUAAGAAUCGAACCAAAGCCCUCGGUCCCGUUUGUACUUCCGGGAGACCUCAAAUGCGUGAUAGAAUUUCUUCAAAAUGAGUAAACCCCAUCUACCACAUUCAUGGUUGGCAAGAAAAUCAACCAUGUCAGUAUCCAAAAAAAGGAAAAGAGAAGUUGAUGUUAUUUUUUUGUUUUGUAUUUUGUUGGAAACAAACAAGGGACCAUAACUCAUCAUGAAAUACUCUUUAAUUUAUUUUUCUCAGGAACUUCAUAGAAUUGAUUGCUGCUACACCCCCUCUAGUCUCUCUUUUCUUUGUUAGAGAGUUGGUGGAAAUCAUUAAGAAAUCCACUCACUCUCUCUCCUCUCCACUCUCUCUGUAAAAAACCCUAAACUCAUUUCAUCACGGAUUUAGGGUUUCAAUCUCAUCACUCCCAUCAUCAAAAGUUUUUGAUCUGUUUGUGGUUGAAGGAAGAAGGAGUUGCUUUCUUCAGAGAUCUUGAUUUUUUGAGUGUUUCUUCAUGGAUGAAAUAGACUUGCUAAUUGAGACGUUACUUAUGCUGUCUUCGCUCCUGUUAUUAUUCGGCAGCGUCGGUGCCUUGAUUUUAUUAAAGCGCUCACUAUUGUUGGAAAGAAUGAUCCGCUUCUCAAAGACAGCUUGGCGGAGCUCUAUUGGGUAUUUUCUGCAUCCUGGUUUAGCAUCGUUCUCGGUUGGAUCGUAUACAUAGCUCUCAUUCUAAAAUUUGGCCGUUGGUACUACUUCCCGUUCAAGAAGUUUUGGCUCAUAAUCAGUACUGCCGCAUCAUUUCUUUUUUAUGGUACUUGGUAAUGAACUCUUGAAAGCAUUCAUAAUCCGACAUGGUUGAGCCUUUUAAUGUUUUGGCUGUCUAUUACAAAAGAUUAAGGCUAUAUGUGAACAUAAUGGGUGUUUAACCUACUGUUCUUUUUGCUAAACUUUAUUUAUUAGAGCUAUUGCUAUGAACUUUGUUACCAAUUAUACAUCUUGCUUGUCUACAGUACUCUUCUGCAUAUUUGCAGUAUGUUUGUGUU